CCCUUAGAUGUUCUGGGCCGCACGCGCGCUACAAUGAUGAAUUCAACGAGUUUAUAACCUUGGUUGAAAAGCCUGGGUAAUCUUUUGAACUUUCGUCGUGAUGGGGCUAGACCCUUGCAAUUAUUGGUCUCCAACGAGGAAUUCCUAGUAAACGCAAGUCAUCAGCUUGCAUUGAUUACGUCCCUGCCCUUUGUACACACCGCCCGUCGCACCUACCGAUUGAAUGGUCCGGUGAAAUCUUCGGAUUGAGACUUUGAUUUCUUCACGGAAAACGCUGUUUUAAAAAGUUGAUUAAACCUUACCAUUUAGAGGAAGGUGAAGUCGUAAC
rnacentral:rRNA from 1 species